UCAGGAUGAACGCUAGCGGUGCGCCUAACACAUGCAAGUCGAGCGGUAGUUAUUAGCUUGCUAAUGAUGAGAGCGGCGAACGGGUGAGUAACACGUUGGAAUCUGCCCCCAUGCCAGGGAUAGCCAUUGGAAACGAUGAUUAAUACCGGAUGUGCUCUACGGAGUAAAGAUUUAUCACAUGGGGAGGAUCCUGCGAACUAUCAGCUAGUUGGUAAGAUAAAAGCUUACCAAGGCAAUGACGGUUAGUUGGUCUGAGAGGAUGACCAGCCACAAUGGAACUGAGACACGGUCCAUACUCCUACGGGAGGCAGCAGUGAGGAAUCUUCCACAAUGGACGCAAGUCUGAUGGAGCGACACCGCGUGAAGGAAGAAUGCCUAACGGUUGUAAACUUCUUUUCUGAGGGAGCAAAAUGAGAGUACCUCAGGAAUAAGGGGCGGCAAAUCACGUGCCAGCAGCCGCGGUAAUACGUGAGCCCCAAGCGUUAUCCGGAAUUACUGGGUGUAAAGGGUUCGUAGGUGGCAAAGUAAGUUAGGUAUUAAAGGCCGAGGCUCAACCUCGUGUAUGUGCUUAAAACUGCUUAGCUAGAAUCAGGGAGAGGUAAGCGGAAUUCUAAGAGUAGGGGUGCAAUCCGUAGAUACUUAGAAGAACACCAAAAGCGAAGGCAGCUUACUGGAACUGUAUUGACGCUGAGGAACGAAAGCGUGGGUAGCGAAAAGGAUUAGAUACCCUUGUAGUCCACGCCGUAAACGAUGAUAACUAAGUGUUGCAUGUAGGUGCAGUGCUGAAGCUAACGCAUUAAGUUAUCCACCUGAGGAGUACGGUCGCAAGAUUAAAACUCAAAGGAAUAGACGGGGACCCACACAAGCAGUGGAUCAUGUGGUUUAAUUCGACAAUAAACGGGGAAUCUUACCUAGACUUGACAUCGUAGAGAUUCUGGGGAAACCUAGAAGUGCUCGCAAGAGAAUCUGCAGACAGGUGCUGCAUGGUUGUCGUCAGCUCGUGCCUUGAGGUGUUCGGUUAAGUCCGUUAACGAGCGCAACCCAUAUCAUUAGUUAAAUAUGUCUAAUGAGACUGCCUUGGUUAACAAGGAGGAAGGUGUGGAUGACGUCAAAUCAGCAUGGCUUUUACGUCUAGGGCCACACACAUGAUACAAUGGUGCAUACAAAGAGUAGCGAGACAGUAAUGUGGAGCAAAUCUCAAAAGUGCAUCUCAGUCCGGAUUGAGGUCUGAAACUCGACCUCAUGAAGUUGGAAUUGCUAGUAAUCGUGAAUCAGAUAUGUCGCGGUGAAUGUGUUCCUGGGUCUU
rnacentral:rRNA from 1 species